rnacentral:rRNA from 1 species
GCAAGUCGAACGCGAAAUUUUUUCUUCGGAGAAAAGAGUAGAGUGGCGCCCGGGUGAGUAACGCGUAAGUAAUCUACCCUGGUAUCUGGGAUAACCCACCGAAAGGUGUGCUAAUACCGGAUACGCUGAUUUAUCAGGAAAGGUGGCCUCUUCAUGAAAGCUACUGUACUAGGAGGAGCUUGCGUACCAUUAGCUAGUUGGUAGGGUAAUGGCCUACCAAGGAAAAGAUGGUGAGCGGGUCGGAGAGGAUGAUC